CAUGGACACUAAGUCCGUUACAAGCUAUGGUCCCCGCCCAUGAGAACAAUAAUUUAAAAAAGAUAACUUUGAGCUCUUCCAGUAUUUUCUCUUGAUCUUCGAAACUUCUUGCAUUUCUCUCCCUCCAAAUACACCAACACAAACAUAUUGAAACCAACCUCUAAAUUGCCGCUACCUGAGAAUUGCCCUAUAGUCCUCUCCAACUUGCGAGAAAAUCCACCAAUCUAAAAGGCAUAACCCAAGACAAUCCAACUCUUGAGAAAAAAUCAUCCUACAUGCCCUUGGCCACCUCACAAUGUAAAAGCAGAUGAUCAAACUGACUCUUCAUGCUUCUUACAAAUAUAAUACCAAUCUAGGACAAUAACCCGUCGUUUCCUCAAAUUAUUUAUAGUAAGGAUAUUGUCCAACGAUGCACCCAACGAUCAGCCACUACCUAAUUCUGACGAGUUUUUUCAAGUUCAGAAAGAGUUCUGGCCUCCUCCUCGCCUUCCAAACCCUGUAACUCCUCCAUAAGAGAGCGCCUCUGCUGAAACACAUUGCCAAAAACUUGUUCAUUCCAUUGCUUCAGGUCCUGUUUCAGCGCUUUCAACUAUUUUGCCAUAAUGAAGCUUGGAGAGCCUUGGAAAGUGUAAGAGGACCACCAUUGUCUGACCCUGUCCACAAAACCGUUAGUUU